GAGGGUGUAGCUCAGUGGUAGAGCAUGUGCUUAGCAUGCACAAGGUCCUGGGUUCAAUCCUCAGUACUGCCA
rnacentral:tRNA from 1 species